rnacentral:rRNA from 1 species
UGCGUAGGCGGCGCGGAAAGUUGGGUGUGAAAUCCCUCGGCUCAACCGAAGAAUUGCGCCCAAAACUUCCGUGCUCGAGGAAGAUAGAGGUGAGCGGAACUUAGGGUGGAGCGGUGAAAUGCGUUGAUAUCCUAAGGAACACCGGUGGCGAAAGCGGCUCACUGGAUCUUUUCUGACGCUGAGGCACGAAAGCUAGGGUAGCGAACG